rnacentral:lncRNA from 12 species
GCUGCAGGCUUGAAUACCUGUCAUAAAGGCCUGAGUAGAAAAAGAAUCCUAUACUUUCUGGAAAUUCUCAUAUGGCUGAACAUACUGGAGGGUUCAGGAGGUCCCCCUGCACUCAGAUUCUAUUCGCUUAAACUGUUUGGACACCAACCACGUGAAAAGGAACUCAUCCAAGAAUGGAUUAUAGCCAACAACUCUGACAUGAAGACACAGGAGCGGCAACAUUUCAGGACUUCUUGGGUGGAAGAAAGUUGGCAGAGAGAAAGUCCAUAGUGAGUAGUUAAACGUUAUAUGAAUUAAUAACCCCCAUCAAUAGUUUAAUGGAUGAAAUGCAUUGAUUGCUUUGAGAAUUAUGCUGAGGUCUACAGUAAUAAGCAGAAAUGUCUGAUUUGACAUCUUUUUUUUUUUUUAUAUGUCUGCAACGUAAUCUACUACCAAUUACACAACAACCCCACCGAAGGAGUGCUGAGUGGUCCCACUACAGUAGUAACAUGUUAUAAAAGCUCGGGUUUCAGGACAAUUAGCUUCUGGCUACAGUUUAUUACCCCAUUUGAGAUUUAAAACAUUUUUUUUCCAUUGCAUUCCAACAAUGCUUAUGUGUCUGGGGCUAACACUUUAAAACAAUAAUGAAAUGGCAAAUAUCUGUCUGGCUGGGGUUUGUUCAAGAAGGGUGUGUAUUGGCAUUAAAAAAAAAAUCAAGGCAGAGUGAACAAAACAAAAGCAACUUCCUUAAUUUCUCAAAGUGGCCAGGAUUAUAAUGUUUACCAAGAAAAAACAUGCCUUUCAUUUAUAGAAGAUUUAAGAAAUGUUUUGGAGACUAUGAUCAUUCCUGCUUAUUUAAAGGCAAUUUCCACAUGAUGAAAAAGUAG